AAAAUAGCAAAAAUAAAAAUUUUAAUUUUUUUCUAAAUUCAUUUAUGUCAAACCAAUCAAGUGUGAAACAACCGUUGUACUCUAAAAACUUAAGCUAUUAGAGAACGGUGUUUAAAUAUUUUUAUAUUUAACACUCCCCCUCACGUCUGGACUCGAGACUUUUUAGUCAGCCCAUGAUGUGGGCUUAAAUUAAAUAGAAGAAAAUUAAUAUAUCAGAAGCCUGACGUGAUUCAAACUCAGGAUGUUCUACUCUGAUACCAUGUGAAACAACCGCUGCACUCUAAAAUCUUAAGCUAUUAGAGAGCGAUAUUUAAAUAUUUUUAUAUUUAACACCAAGCACAAAAAAAAAAUAUUUUUUAUAUCUAAAAUAAU
rnacentral:lncRNA from 1 species